UACGGAGGGGGCUAGCGUUGUUCGGAAUUACUGGGCGUAAAGCGCACGUAGGCGGCUUUGUAAGUUAGAGGUGAAAGCCCGGGGCUCAACUCCGGAAUUGCCUUUAAGACUGCAUCGCUAGAAUUGUGGAGAGGUAAGUGGAAUUCCGAGUGUAGAGGUGAAAUUCGUAGAUAUUCAGAAGAACACCAGUGGCGAAGGCGACUUACUGGACACAUAUUGACGCUGAGGUGCGAAAGCGUGGGGAGCAAACAGG
rnacentral:rRNA from 1 species